UACGUAGGGUGCAAGCGUUGUCCGGAAUUAUUGGGCGUAAAGAGCUCGUAGGCGGUUUGUCGCGUCUGCCGUGAAAGUCCGGGGCUCAACUCCGGAUCUGCGGUGGGUACGGGCAGACUAGAGUGAUGUAGGGGAGACUGGAAUUCCUGGUGUAGCGGUGAAAUGCGCAGAUAUCAGGAGGAACACCGGUGGCGAAGGCGGGUCUCUGGGCCGAUACUGACGCUGAGGAGCGAAAGCGUGGGGGAGCGAACAGG
rnacentral:rRNA from 1 species